ACACCGAUGGUGAAGCGGUUAUCAAUGCUUGCCUUCCAAGCAAGCGGCACGGGUUCGACUCCCGUUCGGUGUA